CUUUUUCUCUAUUUUUUCCACGUGCUGUUCUUCUCCUGCUUCUCAUUCACCAGUGGUUUUGAUCCUUGCAGGGCCAGGCCCAGGAGAAGAAUGGAUUGGAGAAGGGACACCAUGUUUCACAGCUGUGACAUUUGCCAUCGGGCCUCAGGACACCCAAUGGCAGAGGUACUUUGACGAU
rnacentral:lncRNA from 1 species